rnacentral:sRNA from 1 species
AAUUUGUUCCCCUGAAUCAUCGAGAUGAGACCACUCUUAAUCUCGAAGUUGUUGUUCUGGAUAGCAGGAGGUGCAAUUCCUUUCCUCUGACGGUGAUCACGUGGUGCAUCUUCAGCACCAAUGUUGGUAGGGCCAUUUUGUUGAUUCUGUUCUUCAGGCAUAUCGAGUGGUUGCUGAGAUACAGGGUUGACUGUGUUUCUCCUUUCUCUGAGUUCGCGAGCUAUGUGGUCGAUGUUGUCGUUGAAAAGGAGGUUCUGAUUGUCUGAUCGAGUUCGCAUACAGUAGAGGUGUACCUGGAUCAAGAAGACAACAAAAAAAACACACAGUUAGUAACCGAAAAGAAAAUUGAAAAAGAACUUGAUCUAAGCAAGUCUGAAAUCUCAAAUGUAACAAACAAACACCCAAUUGGCAACGGCGCCAAAUUGAUAAUAAGUUUUUAGUCAAUUAUCCUAAAACACCAAUCAUAUCGUUGUAGUAUUUUAGGUUGUCAAUCCAAAUGGGUGUGAUGCUAACAAUCAAGAUGUGAUCAGAAGUCACUAAGUCAAGCCAAGCAAUAACAGGGUUUGGUGUGUUCUAUCAGUUCUAAGUGAACAUGCAGAAAACAGAAAUUCAAGCAGAAACAAUAAAACACUCGACCAACACAGCUCUUUGUAGAGC